GUGCCAGCCUUCGCGGUAAUACGGUGGGCGCAAGCGUUACUCGGAAUCACUGGGCGUAAAGGGCGCGUAGGCGGAUUAUCAAGUCUCUUGUGAAAUCUAAUGGCUUAACCAUUAAACUGCUUGGGAAACUGAUAGUCUAGAGUGAGGGAGAGGCAGAUGGAAUUGGUGGUGUAGGGGUAAAAUCCGUAGAUAUCACCAAGAAUACCCAUUGCGAAGGCGAUCUGCUGGAACUCAACCGCACUAAGG
rnacentral:rRNA from 1 species